GGCCUCAGAGGGUCUGGGGUCUGCUCCUCCUGUUAGAGUCUACAGAUAAAUGUGGAAGAAGUUUCCCUGGAAAAAAACCUAAAAAAUUCUCUGAGUGACUCCUGUGCAUCCUGUCCGAAGGAGAGAGGCCCACACGAAAGCAGUUCUGGAACUCAUCAGUAUAUCUUGAGCUGGACAGAACAUGCACUAUGAAUGCCAGCUUACAGAAGAGGAAAAAAUAAGGAUUCAGCAUGUUCUUUGACUUUGCUUGGUUCUCAACAGCCUGACUUCUUCAUGGCCACACAUCUGCUGCGACUUCUCUGUUCAUGAAAACUUUAUUGGCGACCUCUAUCAGCUGAGUGACAUUCAUCCCGGCAAAGCCCUCUAACUUCUGGAGUUUUCUUCUGAUAUCUGGGGCAGCCUGUGCCACAAAAGAGGUAUUUACCAUUUGUUGACUUUCUGGUGCCUCGGG